UACGGAGGAUGCGAGCGUUAUCCGGAUUUACUGGGUGUAAAGGGAGCGUAGACGGUUACGCAAGUCUGGAGUGAAAGGCGGGGGCCCAACCCCCGGACUGCUUUGGAAACUGUAUAACUGGAGUGCAGGAGAGGUAAGUGGAAUUCCUAGUGUAGCGGUGGAAUGCGUAGAUAUAUGGAAGAACACCAGUGGCGAAGGCGGCUCUCUGGUCUGUAACUGACGCUGAGGCUCGAAAGCAUGGGUAGCGAACAGG
rnacentral:rRNA from 1 species